rnacentral:rRNA from 1 species
UACGUAGGGGGCAAGCGUUGUCCGGAUUCACUGGGCGUAAAGCGCGUGUAGGCGGCGCGUCAAGUCGGGUGUGAAAGCCCGGGGCUCAACCCCGGGAUGCCGCUCGAAACUGGCGCGCUUGAGGACGGAAGAGGGGAGUGGAAUUCCUGGUGUAGCGGUGAAAUGCGUAGAGAUCAGGAGGAACACCCGUGGCGAAGGCGGCUCCCUGGUCCGAUACUGACGCUGAGGAGCGAAAGCGUGGGGAGCGAACAGG